rnacentral:piRNA from 1 species
AUACGUUCCCCUUAAAUAAGACA